UUGAAAGAUGGUUUCGGCUAUCGCUUACAGAUGGGCCCGCGGUGCAUUAGCUAGUUGGUAGGGUAAUGGCCUACCAAGGCAACGAUGCAUAGCCGACCUGAGAGGGUGAUCGGCCACACUGGGACUGAGACACGGCCCAGACUCCUACGGGAGGCAGCAGUAGGGAAUCUUCCGCAAUGGACGAAAGUCUGACGGAGCAACGCCGCGUGUAUGAAGAAGGUUUUCGGAUCGUAAAGUACUGU
rnacentral:rRNA from 1 species